rnacentral:siRNA from 1 species
CAAGGCUAAAUACGGGCGAGAG